UUUUGCGUCCUGCCUGUACAUUCCGAAGUUCUGUGAAAAGAGGCACUAGCGCUCAGCCACGCAAGGCAGGAAAACAGAGGAAGUUUUCGCAUUCUGACUGCAGCCUGAGUUCCCCGGAGCAAGGCUGCUUCUCUCCACCCACUCCUCACCAAGAACUCCUGAACUUGAGAGUGGACGACUUCAAAGCUAGCUCCCACAGACUCACCUGGAAAAGAGUUCAGCUGCGCGUUCAUUGAACCGAGAGGCCAGAUCACCUAUGUGAGGCGGUGGGAACCAUAUGGAGAUUUAUAUUAGAACUUCAGCAAAGUGCACAGCUGCAGCCGGCAGAAGCCAGCUCUCGGGCUGACAGGCAAAUGAACCAGAUCGUGGACGGGGCCUCUGGGUGGCAGCUCCGGCCUUUUGGUUGUUGGACAACUAUAGUCAGAACUGAAAUGGAACAGGGGCAGGAGAAAUAACACACUUUUACUCCACGCAACUGUUGCUUUCACAUGAUCUUCAGGAAUGUAACUGGGAUAAUUGUCCAAAUUGAAUCCCAUACCCUGUCAUGGUGAGUAGAACCAUCUAAGAUGCUAUUUUUUUCGUGUUUAUCUGUAAUUUUUUUUCAUUGGUAAUCUCAGUUUUCUGGUGAUUGGUAUAGGAAAUUCA
ensembl:processed_transcript